UGAUACCUUCUAACGAAGGGGGUGAGAC
rnacentral:sRNA from 1 species